rnacentral:lncRNA from 1 species
CUUAAACAGAUGAGGAAGGCAUGUUACCUCUGUCUUCCAUCCCAGCUGGUAUGCUGUGAGGAGGCAGAGUUCACUUGGUAGGAGACAAAUGGGAAGCACCAAGCUUGGAAGUUCCCACAGGGUACAGGUGUUGCUGGGCAGGUCCAGAAGCAGGCAUUUGAAAGGGUCUGCGAGGGCAAGCCACUUUCUCUAACUGGUGGAGAAAGAGGUUCUUGUAAAACUCUUCUCAGAGUGGGGAGGCACUGAAUAUCUGCAAGGGUUGCCUUGCAGGGAGCAGCCAUGUAAGAAGUUCUUAAACAAGAAGGACUGCAGGACAAAAUAUGAAGAGCCACUGCUCUGCAGGGCAGUUCAGAGCACCCUGUCUCACUUGUGCCUGCUAGCGCUGCUGAGUCUUCAUCUUAACUGUGUCCAAGGUCAUUUGCUCUAUCUUAGCUGUCCACAAAACUCAUAGGCAAGAGGGUUGUUUGAUGAGUUUUGCGGUAAGUGUUAGGCAUGCCUGUGCUAUCUUGUUUUAGUUGCACUGACCAGAAGCCAGUAUGUUACACCUGUGCUAUAGGACUAAGGACAGUGGUUUGCACCAUGAGCACCACAGCCUGGAAGACGAAUAUAGUGCUGGUCAAGAAAUUUCCUGAGCAGACACCUUUGAAACCUUCAACCAGCAUUAUAUAGGAUAAAAAAUGUAGCAUAGCACUUUUUUUUUUUAAUGGUAGUGUGUGUAAAAAGUCAGAAAUGAAAGUCUUGGUGCUGUGAACUUGUAUACACAUAGAUAAUUUCUCUGAAGGCCUGGACGACUGGUUAUGGAGUUGCUCCAGUGUAUGGCAGGUGGAGGAAUGGAAUCUGAGAGUACCUCUUUACUGGGCUGUAAUUAAAUGCACUGGUCAUUUCUUCAGAAAAUGAAACAUAUACAGGGUGCAAUAUCCAGUAACCACGUGGGUGUCCUCUGCCAACCUCUAUUUUAAACACAAAUUUAUUGAAAGAACAGCAUUAUAGCUUAUAUGUUAGUUCAAUCACCCUUACAGUAAAAAGGAUUAGCUUACUACCAUCACCAAAUUAUAAAAAUCCCCUCUAAGAACUAACUUCUGUGCUGCAUGUGCACAUAUGACUCCAGCUGACUUUGGUUCCUAUUAAAUAAUUUAAUUUAUAUCCCUGGCCUAUCAGGUUUUUACUUUAUCUGUUAUAUUUUGGUUAUAUCUAAAAGUUUCUGCUUAUCAGCAGUCUGUUCAGUCUACAGAUAUCUCAGCUUUAUUUAAGGUCACCUACUAAUGUUGCCUGUAGGAGAGAACCAUAAACUUUUAUGAUCAAAAUGCACACACUUUUUUUUUUUAAGGAUUUUUGGUAAGUGGAUAUUGCAGAGGCUUGUUUUUUGCUUUUUUACUAGCCUUCUACAUUAGAGAACUUAAGGCAAGCAGUUAGUCCUAUUAAGCAUCUAAUAUUGACGCAGAAGUAUGAAUUAAAAAUUCAAACAGGUAGCCAAACUUUUUGUCCAUGUACUCAAAUCAUUUCAUGACAAAGAGCCAUAAGACACAUAUCAUACACUCCAAAGAGCUGAGAGGCAGGAGAGCAGUUAAGGAGCAGCACAAAGGCCCCUGGGAUGAUACAGCUGGGGUCCAUGGUGACCCAGCAAUUUCACCUUCAGCUGCUUCUGGUGGUUAGUACCCUCCUGUAAGCU